rnacentral:rRNA from 1 species
UGGGGAAUAUUGCACAAUGGGCGCAAGCCUGAUGCAGCCAUGCCGCGUGUAUGAAGAAGUUCUUCGGGUUGUAAAGUACUUUCAGCGGGGAGGAAGGGAGUAAAGUUAAUACCUUUGCUCCUUGACGUUACCCGCAGAAGAAGCACCGGCUAACUCCGUGCCAGCAGCCGCGGUAAUACGGAGGGUGCAAGCGUUAAUCGGAAUUACUGGGCGUAAAGCGCACGCAGGCGGUUUGUUAAGUCAGAUGUGAAAUCCCCGGGCUCAACCUGGGAACUGCAUCUGAUACUGGCAAGCUUGAGUCUCGUAGAGGGGGGUAGAAUUCCAGGUGUAGCGGUGAAGUGCGUAGAGAUCUGGAGGAAUACCGGUGGCGAAGGCGGCCCCCUGGACAAAGACUGACGCUCAGGUGCGAAAGCGUGGGGAGCAAACAGG